rnacentral:rRNA from 1 species
CUACGGGUUGCUGCAGUGAGGAAUAUUGGUCAAUGGGCGCGAGCCUGAACCAGCCAUCCCGCGUGCAGGAUGACGGCCCUAUGGGUUGUAAACUGCUUUUCUAUGCCAAGAAACCUGAUUACGUGUAAUCAGUUGCCGGUAGCAUAGGAAUAAGCAUCGGCUAACUCCGUGCCAGCAGCCGCGGUAAUACGGAGGAUGCAAGCGUUAUUCGGAUUCAUUGGGUUUAAAGGGUGCGCAGGUGGGCUUGUAAGUCAGUGGUGAAAUGCUGCCGCUUAACGGUAGAACUGCCAUUGAUGCUGCGAGUCUUGAGUAUGGUUGAGGUAGGCGGAAUGUGUUGUGUAGCGGUGAAAUGCAUAGAUAUGACACAGAACGCCAAUUGCGAAGGCAGCUUACUAAGCCAUUACUGACGCUGAGGCACGAAAGCGUGGGGAGCGAACAGGAUUAGAUACCCGAGUAGUC